rnacentral:lncRNA from 1 species
GAGUACCAGGAGGAGCAAAGAAUCAAGCCAGAGGAAGAGAUAUGAUAGACAAGGCUCUGACAAGACCUAGAAGGUGGAGUACGCUCAAGGCAGUGAAAUGGCCCCGUGAAUCAGUAGUCGAUCCGAGGUUGGCCUUAGCCGCGAAAGCCGUAAAUGCUUUGUUCUGACGGUGAAGAGGCAGUUGAUGCGGAAGAAGCUAUCUGAGCCCCAUAAAUCAAAGAAGUGCACGCAUUAGCAAACAGACUGAAAAAGAGUAGGGAAUGUCUUUGUUGAAUCUGAAUUGGAUAAGUAACCAAGCAGAAAAGACGGAGACGAAAAAGAAGUUCUUUAGCUCUUCUCUGCUAAUCCGGUGACCUUAAGUGGGAACUGAACUUAGUCUUGCUGUGGAGGUAGGAAAAAAAGUCAAGUAGUCAUCCCCGAGCCGGUCUAUCAACGAAAGAAAUUCAUGGGCGUCGGUCAGCCUGCCCCAGAGAUGAGUCGAUCUUCUACAACCUUUCGGACAGGCUCUGUCAAGACCUUGGUUUCUUCCCCUGACUCAGUCUGGUUCUGUGGGUUGGGGAAUGAUUUGAUUCCAAAACUUUAGGCAAUAGAGGAAAUUAGCUAGCAAUCACAGGAAAGCGUACAAAGACUUCGGUCUCGAAUAAGCUGGAAAGCUUGUCUUUACUAAAGUCUUGUUACAUGUUACUUCUUGUUGAUUUUCUAUUGGUUGCGCCAGGGCCAAAGAUUACGGUUAAAGCAUAGGCUAUAAGAAUCAAAGGGAUACCGUGCGUAAAUGACUUAGGAGUGAAAACCAGGCAAAGUGCUUACCGCCCC